rnacentral:rRNA from 1 species
CAAUAGCGUAUAUUAAAGUUGUUGCAGUUAAAAAGCUCGUAGUUGGAUUUCGGGGCAGCCUGGCUGGUCCGCCGCAAGGCGAGUACUGGUCAGCCGCCCUUCCUCUCGAAAGCCCCGACUGCUCUUCGUUGCAGUGGUCGGGUAGUUCGGGACGUUUACUUUGAAAAAAUUAGAGUGUUCAAGGCAGGCCUACGCCUGAAUACAUUAGCAUGGAAUAAUGGAAGAGGACCUCGAUCCUAUUUUGUUGGUUUCCAGGGCCGAAGUAAUGAUUAAGAGGGACAGUUGGGGGCAUUCGUAUUUAAUUGUCAGAGGUGAAAUUCUCGGAUUUAUGAAAGACGAACAACUGCGAAAGCAUUUGCCAAGGAUGUUUUCAUUAA